CGCUGCGGCGUGCCUAAUACAUGCAAGUCGAACGCACUCUCGUUUAGAUUGAAGGAGCUUGCUCCUGAUUGAUAAACAUUUGAGUGAGUGGCGGACGGGUGAGUAACACGUGGGUAACCUGCCCUAAAGUGGGGGAUAACAUUUGGAAACAGAUGCUAAUACCGCAUAAAACCUAACACCGCAUGGUGUAGGGUUGAAAGAUGGUUUCGGCUAUCACUUUAGGAUGGACCCGCGGUGCAUUAGUUAGUUGGUGAGGUAAAGGCUCACCAAGACCGUGAUGCAUAGCCGACCUGAGAGGGUAAUCGGCCACACUGGGACUGAGACACGGCCCAGACUCCUACGGGAGGCAGCAGUAGGGAAUCUUCCACAAUGGACGAAAGUCUGAUGGAGCAACGCCGCGUGAGUGAAGAAGGUUUUCGGAUCGUAAAACUCUGUUGUUGGAGAAGAAUGUAUCUGAUAGUAACUGAUCAGGUAGUGACGGUAUCCAACCAGAAAGCCACGGCUAACUACGUG
rnacentral:rRNA from 1 species